rnacentral:lncRNA from 1 species
GUACCCGUCCCCCAGUCGGCCCCUCUCCCUUAUCCCAACCCACAACCUCCCCCUUACCGGCCUCCACUACAAUUCUCCUUGCCUUUGCUGGCGCGCAAAUCAAGUCAGCCCUAACCUCGGCGGGGAACAUUCCGUCACAGUCUAUUCCUCCCUCCCGCCUACAGCAGAGCAAAGUCCUCCAAAAUUCGCGAGAGCUUCUCUUUUUCCCUACCCCCCCCCUACGUCCUUUCCCCUCCCCCCUCCCCCCCACCCCCCCCUCGUCCUCGAACCCUCAAGGCCUCGCGAGAACUCCUCUUCCUCGAUUUCUACCAGACUCGGAGUGCUCAAGAUCUCGCGAAAAUUCUCUUUCUCUUCACCCUCCCCCCAAUUCUCCUUCCUCUUUCUGCUCCUUGUCUCUGGGUUUUGAAGAUCUCGUGAGACUUCUCCGUUCUAACCAGCCCCUCCCCCGCCCCCACCCCACCCCCACCCGCCUGCGUGUUGCUUCCCCAAGUCAGAGCUAUCCAGAAAAAAGCCGAAAGCGGAGAAUAUGGAGGGUCACGUGACCGCAGAAGCCGGGCGCGGCGGCCAUUUUGCAAAGCGGGGGAUGGUGGCGCGGAUAGAGUCCCAAAGGGGGUGGUGAGGGAGAGAAGCAGGGCGAAGGAGGGGAAAAGAAAGAGGAAAGACUCCGGCGCCGGGCGCGCGCGCCCCCUCCCCCCACGCUACUAGGAAAACAAUGAGACAAUCACACGCAGAAACGACGCCAAUUGUUACGCACCUCCACCGGGGCCCGGACCCCCCACCCGCAUCCCGCUGCGCCUGCGCAGGAACUCUGGCUCUUUCUCCCCUGGUUUCUACCCGGACUGUGGUGGGGGUAGGGGCAGUUCAACUCGGGAAAAUGAAAGCUAAGACCACGUGGGUUUUGUGCCAUGCUUCAAAGGUCAUCGGACUUAGCUUCCAUAUCAAUGAAGCAUUAGAAGGGCUACUUGGUGGAAAACCAACAAAGGAAAAUUCUAUUCUUGAUCUGAAGAGGAGGUUGCUACAGUGGAAAUAACUGUGGAGUGAAGGGACCACUCCAUCCUAGAAUAGUGAUAGAGGAGAAGAAAUCUUGACACAUUCUGACCCACACCCUAGAUUUCUGAGAAAGCAAGUUUCAAAGAGCUGAAAAGGAAGGUAAAUAGGAUCCCAUGAAGUAAAAUGCUACAGGGCAAAUCAAUCCAGGAAGGAUGAAUGAUGCUCAAGAAUGAAAUUCUGAAGAAACAAAUGGAAAUGAAAGAAGGAAAAAUAAGAUUUAUCUAAAGAGACUAAUGCAAAUGUACAGGAAACUUAAAUUCGUGUUAGUUUGUUUUUUCAUGUAAAGAAGAUAGAAGCAAGACCAGAUAACAGAGAAUGAAUAAAAAGCAAGUGUCAUGGGCCUUUUAGAAUAAU